rnacentral:rRNA from 1 species
CGGAGGAUCAUUAAAAAAAGAGAACGUCCCGUUUUUUUCAUAAGAAUGGGUUCUAUUCCCUUAAACCGUGUCUACAUACCUUUGUUGCUUUGGCAGGCCGCUUCGGGCGUCGGCUCCGGCUGAUAGUGCCUGCCAAGAGGACCCAAACUCUAUGUUUAGUGAUGUCUGAGUACUAUAUAAUAUUAAAACUUUCAACAACCGGAUCUCUUGGUUCUGGCAUCGAUGAAGAACGCAGCGAAAUGCGAUAAGUAAUGUGAAUUGCAGAAUUCAGUGAAUCAUCGAAUCUUUGAACGCACAUUGCGCCCCUUGGUAUUCCGAGGGGCAUGCCUGUUCGAGCGUCAUUAUAACCACUCAAGCCUGGCUUGGUAUUGGGGCUUUCGCGUGUUCGCGGCCCUUAAAAUCAGUGGCGGUGCCGUCUGGCUCUAAGCGUAGUAAUUUCUCUCGCUAUAGGGUUCCGGUGGUUACUUGCCAAAACCCCCCAUUUUUUCUAGGUUGACCUGG